rnacentral:rRNA from 1 species
AUUGAACGCUGGCGGCAGGCCUAACACAUGCAAGUCGAACGGUAGCACAGAGAGCUUGCUCUUGGGUGACGAGUGGCGGACGGGUGAGUAAUGUCUGGGAAACUGCCCGAUGGAGGGGGAUAACUACUGGAAACGGUAGCUGAUACCGCAUAACGUCUUCGGACCAAAGUGGGGGACCUUCGGGCCUCACACCAUCGGAUGUGCCCAGAUGGGAUUAGCUAGUAGGUGGGGUAAUGGCUCACCUAGGCGACGAUCCCUAGCUGGUCUGAGAGGAUGACCAGCCACACUGGAACUGAGACACGGUCCAGACUCCUACGGGAGGCAGCAGUGGGGAAUAUUGCACAAUGGGCGCAAGCCUGAUGCAGCCAUGCCGCGUGUAUGAAGAAGGCCUUCGGGUUGUAAAGUACUUUCAGCGGGGAGGAAGGCGAUGGAGUUAAUAGCUUCAUCGAUUGACGUUACCCGCAGAAGAAGCACCGGCUAACUCCGUGCCAGCAGCCGCGGUAA